rnacentral:rRNA from 1 species
CGAACGCUGGCGGCAUGCCUAAUACAUGCAAGUCGAACGCUGAAGCACUCUGCUUGCAGAGUGCGGAUGAGUGGCGAACGGGUGAGUAACACGCGGGAAAUCUGCCUAGGAGUGGGGGAUAACAUUCGGAAACGGAUGCUAAUACCGCAUAUCUUUUUGAACCGCAUGGUUCUUAAACGAAAGACGGCUUCGGCUGUCGCUCUUAGAUGAUCCCGCGGCGUAUUAGUUAGUUGGUGGGGUAAUAGCCUACCAAGGCAACGAUGCGUAGCCGGACUGAGAGGUUGAACGGCCACACUGGGACUGAGACACGGCCCAGACUCCUACGGGAGGCAGCAGUAGGGAAUAUUGCACAAUGGAGGAAACUCUGAUGCAGCCAUGCCGCGUGAGUGAAGAAGGCCUUCGGGUCGUAAAGCUCUGUUGAAGGGGACGAAUGUCAAGGCUAUCAACAACGGUUUUGAAUGACGGUACCUUUCGAGGAAGCCACGGCUAACUACGUG